GCCUACGGCCAUACCACCCUGAGAACGCCCGAUCUCGUCUGAUCUCGGAAGCUAAGCAGGGUCGGGCCUGGUUAGUACUUGGAUGGGAGACCGCCUGGGAAUACCAGGUGC
ensembl:rRNA 5S_rRNA 5S ribosomal RNA